AUUGAACGCUGGCGGCAGGCUUAACACAUGCAAGUCGAGCGAGCGGCGGACGGGUGAGUCAUUUCUGGGAAACUGCCUGAUGGAGGGGGAUAACUACUGGAAACGGUAGCUAAUACCGCAUACCAUCAGAUGUGCCCAGAUGGGAUUAGCUAGUAGGUGGGGUAAUGGCUCACCUAGGCGACGAUCGCUAGCUGGUCUGAGAGGAUGACCAGCCAGACUGGAACUGAGACACGGUACAGAAACCUACGGGAGGAAGCAGUGGAGAAUAUUGCACAAGGGGCGCAAGCCGGAUGCUGCCAUGCCGCGUGUGUGAAGAAGGCCUUCGGGUUGUAAAGCACUGUCGGCGAGGAGGCGUUACUCGCAGAAGAAGCACCGGCUAACUCCGUGCCAGCAGCCGCGGUAAUAC
rnacentral:rRNA from 1 species